rnacentral:lncRNA from 1 species
CUACUGAUAAUUAUGGUAAUUAUACAAAUUUCUUUAAGAAACUCUGGAAAAUCAAUCUAACAGAGAAAAUAAAAAUUACAGCAUGGCAAAAUUUUAAAAAUUACAUCCCUAGAUACUAUAAUUUGUGUAAUAAGAGGCUGCGGAGUUAAGCAAUGUGUCCAAAAUAUACAAGAGAUGUCGAGACCUCAGAGCAUAGCUUUAGAGAAUGUCUUUCUGUCGAGGAAAUAUAGAGAAGGUUAGAUUUGAAAUGGCCUGAUGAUAUUGCUAAUGUAUCUUUGCAGGAUUGGCUUACUUAUAUUGUUUCCACGUUCCCGAUUACUACAUGUAGAAUUGUGGUAUGUGCUCUAUGGUUUAUUUGGUCUACAAGGAACAUGUUGAUUCAUGAUAAGGUGAUUCUAUUAUCUCAGGACAUAUUGAAAAGGGUUGAGUCCUACAUUAAAGAAGUCGAUGCGAUUCAGUAGAGUUUACCUGUUCGAAGGGUUGAGUAUGAGCGGCGGAGGCCCCUGAAGGAUCCUUUUCUUAAAAGAAAUUUUGACUCAACAUUUCAAGGGAAGGAUAGGAGAUCAUAUAUAGGGAUUGUUAUUAGAAAUGGGAGAGGUCAAGUGGUAGGCUCAAGAGCAAUUGUAAACUGCCACAUACCUACGGGUUUUGCAGCGGAGGCUCUUACAUGUCUCUAGGCAGUGAGUUUGGCGAUUGACUUAGGGAUCCAAGAGGAGAUGCUAGAAGGGGAUGCUCUGUCGGUGAUUAAAAGAUGAAAUCCUGCAGUGAUGAUGGGUCGGUUAUAAGGGCCUAUAUAUAUGAUGCAAAGUUAAAAGUAAAGGAUUUCAAAAAAUGUUUAUUCAUACAUGUUCCCAGGGAUGCAAAAUAAAGUUGCACAUAUAUUAGCUAAAAAGGGGUUGAUGAGGGGUGGGAGUACUUAUUUGGGAGGGUGUGUAUCGGACUUUGUGAGGGAUGCGGUGGAGAACAACUGGUCCGGCAUGCAGAUGGAGGAAGGGGGAAGAAAUGGUAGGUGUCGUCUCUGAUAGAAUCGCAUUGGGUGAUGGAAUUAAGUCCCUUGAGAGGGGUCUCGGAGGUGUAUGAAGGUGAGGGGGGGGGGAGGAAGGGGGUUUAGUUGUCGGACAAGGAAAUGACA